CAGUCAGAGGCGAUGAAGGGCGUGCUAAUCUGCGAUAAGCGCCGGUAAGGUGAUAUGAACCGUUAUAACCGGCGAUACCCGAAUGGGGAAACCCAGUGUGAUUCGUCACACUAUCAUUAACUGAAUCCAUAGGUUAAUGAGGCGAACCGGGGGAACUGAAACAUCUAAGUACCCCGAGGAAAAGAAAUCAACCGAGAUUCCCCCAGUAGCGGCGAGCGAACGGGGAGGAGCCCAGAGCCUGAAUCAGCAUGUGUGUUAGUGGAAGCGUCUGGAAAGGCGCGCGAUACAGGGUGACAGCCCCGUACACAAAAGCGCAUGUGCUGUGAGCUCGAUGAGUAGGGCGGGACACGUGGUAUCCUGUCUGAAUAUGGGGGGACCAUCCUCCAAGGCUAAAUACUCCUGACUGACCGAUAGUGAACCAGUACCGUGAGGGAAAGGCGAAAAGAACCCCGGCGAGGGGAGUGAAAAAGAACCUGAAACCGUGUACGUACAAGCAGUGGGAGCNNNNNNNNNNNNNNNNNNNNNNNGGGCGUUAAGUUGCAGGGUAUAGACCCGAAACCCGGUGAUCUAGCCAUGGGCAGGUUGAAGGUUGGGUAACACUAACUGGAGGACCGAACCGACUAAUGUUGAAAAAUUAGCGGAUGACCUGUGGCUGGGGGUGAAAGGCCAAUCAAACCGGGAGAUAGCUGGUUCUCCCCGAAAGCUAUUUAGGUAGCGCCUCGUGAAUUCAUCUCCGGGGGUAGAGCACUGUUUCGGCUAGGGGGCCAUCCCGGCUUACCAACCCGAUGCAAACUGCGAAUACCGGAGAAUGUUAUCACGGGAGACACACGGCGGGUGCUAACGUCCGUCGUGAAGAGGGAAACAACCCAGACCGCCAGCUAAGGUCCCAAAGUCAUGGUUAAGUGGGAAACGAUGUGGGAAGGCCCAGACAGCCAGGAUGUUGGCUUAGAAGCAGCCAUCAUUUAAAGAAAGCGUAAUAGCUCACUGGUCGAGUCGGCCUGCGCGGAAGAUGUAACGGGGCUAAACCAUGCACCGAAGCUGCGGCAGCGANNUGCUGGAGGUAUCAGAAGUGCGAAUGCUGACAUAAGUAACGAUAAAGCGGGUGAAAAGCCCGCUCGCCGGAAGACCAAGGGUUCCUGUCCAACGUUAAUCGGGGCAGGGUGAGUCGACCCCUAAGGCGAGGCCGAAAGGCGUAGUCGAUGGGAAACGGGUUAAUAUUCCCGUACUUGGUGUUACUGCGAAGGGGGGACGGAGAAGGCUAUGUUGGCCGGGCGACGGUUGUCCCGGUUUAAGCGUGUAGGUGUGUGUUCCAGGUAAAUCCGGUUCACUUUAACACUGAGGCGUGACGACGAGGCACUACGGUGCUGAAGCAACAAAUGCCCUGCUUCCAGGAAAAGCCUCUAAGCAUCAGGUAACACGAAAUCGUACCCCAAACCGACACAGGUGGUCAGGUAGAGAAUACCAAGGCGCUUGAGAGAACUCGGGUGAAGGAACUAGGCAAAAUGGUGCCGUAACUUCGGGAGAAGGCACGCUGACACGUAGGUGAAGUGAUUUACUCAUGGAGCUGAAGUCAGUCGAAGAUACCAGCUGGCUGCAACUGUUUAUUAAAAACACAGCACUGUGCAAACACGAAAGUGGACGUAUACGGUGUGACGCCUGCCCGGUGCCGGAAGGUUAAUUGAUGGGGUCAGCGCAAGCGAAGCUCCUGAUCGAAGCCCCGGUAAACGGCGGCCGUAACUAUAACGGUCCUAAGGUAGCGAAAUUCCUUGUCGGGUAAGUUCCGACCUGCACGAAUGGCGUAAUGAUGGCCAGGCUGUCUCCACCCGAGACUCAGUGAAAUUGAACUCGCUGUGAAGAUGCAGUGUACCCGCGGCAAGACGGAAAGACCCCGUGAACCUUUACUAUAGCUUGACACUGAACAUUGAGCCUUGAUGUGUAGGAUAGGUGGGAGGCUUUGAAGUGUGGACGCCAGUCUGCAUGGAGCCGACCUUGAAAUACCACCCUUUAAUGUUUGAUGUUCUAACGUGGACCCGUAAUCCGGGUUGCGGACAGUGUCUGGUGGGUAGUUUGACUGGGGCGGUCUCCUCCUAAAGAGUAACGGAGGAGCACGAAGGUUGGCUAAUCCUGGUCGGACAUCAGGAGGUUAGUGCAAUGGCAUAAGCCAGCUUGACUGCGAGCGUGACGGCGCGAGCAGGUGCGAAAGCAGGUCAUAGUGAUCCGGUGGUUCUGAAUGGAAGGGCCAUCGCUCAACGGAUAAAAGGUACUCCGGGGAUAACAGGCUGAUACCGCCCAAGAGUUCAUAUCGACGGCGGUGUUUGGCACCUCGAUGUCGGCUCAUCACAUCCUGGGGCUGAAGUAGGUCCCAAGGGUAUGGCUGUUCGCCAUUUAAAGUGGUACGCGAGCUGGGUUUAGAACGUCGUGAGACAGUUCGGUCCCUAUCUGCCGUGGGCGCUGGAGAACUGAGGGGGGCUGCUCCUAGUACGAGAGGACCGGAGUGGACGCAUCACUGGUGUUCGGGUUGUCAUGCCAAUGGCACUGCCCGGUAGCUAAAUGCGGAAGAGAUAAGUGCUGAAAGCAUCUAAGCACGAAACUUGCCCCGAGAUGAGUUCUCCCUGAGACUUAGAGUCUCCUGAAGGAACGUUGAAGACGACGACGUUGAUAGGCCGGGUGUGUAAGCGCAGCGAUGCGUUGAGCUAACCGGUACUAAUGAACCGUGAGGCUUAA
rnacentral:rRNA from 1 species